UAGCGUAAGGGGAAGUCACUUUUUCAUGCAUCAUAAAUAUCUUGUGGUGUGAGAGUGCGCGGAUGAAAUGCAAUAAACUCUGAAAUGAUUCUGAAAUGAUUUUGGCAACCAACAUCUGAGAUGCUGUGUGAUGUGAUUGGUCCGCUGGUUAGUCCAGUUAUCCAAUCACAUCAUCCGUUGUGCAUCAAGGGAUUUAUUCAGUAAAUGUGUUUUCACAUUUAAGAAUUUAUGCACAACUUGGCGCUUCCAUUCAGCUUGUGAUAAACUCAGAUUCAUAUAGGCUAAAACAGGUGGAUGGCUAUUGUCAAAGUAACAAGCAUUCCUGUGACCACAACUAUUGAGAGAAGCUCAUUUUGAUAGACUAACUGCUUUUGUUGGUGUUUACUUUUCAGUACCUUCAACUGUCAGAAACCUAAAACAAUCAGAAUUCACGGAGAGCACAGUCAUAGCCUCGUGGGAAAAGCCUGAGGGAGGACAUUCAGGAUACCGCUAUUGUCUUCUUGAAGUCAAUACCACCGACCAGUGUACUAACUGCAGCAUCAGUGGCAGUACAUGCAAUGAUAUAAAGGCAACAAACAUCACAGAAAGUGAUAAAAAUACCCGGCAGCAUGUUUUGUGUGUGUGUGGCAGCGCUAACAAAGAGCAACACUCUGUCAGGAGAAAUGGUUGGAAUCCCAGCAUACACACGCCCAAAAUUAGUGGACCUCACUUUAGUACCUUUCCUUAAAGAAAUGCAAGCCACCUGGGAAAUAAAUGGGAAUUAUGAAAAAUUUGAAGUGACAAUUACAAGUGCUGAUGCAAAGGAUAUACAGUCAUAUAAUACUACAAACAAGGAUUACACUUUCAAUAAUCUGAAGGCAGGAGUGUUUUACACUGUUUCAGUUGUCACUCUUAAUGGUAAACUGAGAAGUGUUCCUGCUAAUAAGUCAGAUUACACCCGUGAGUAAUCAUUACAAUGCGAUCACUAUUUUUCGAUCAUAUUUCCAGAAGCUUUAAUCACUGUCUUCAUCAGCUUUUCAAGUUCAGCUGUAUAACAUCUCACAAAUCAAUUCACAGGGCCUGCUAAACCUACCUGGGUAAAGGCCACCGCUAUCAAAAAAACAUACAGCUAAGCUGGGGUGCUCCAGACGAGUCAAAGGGUGUAUUGAUUCAAUAUAUAGUGAAAUAUAACACUUCUUUCUGGAAUGAAUUGAAUCAAACAAAUACAACUGAGACAAAUAUCACCAUUCCUUAUUUAAGACCAGGAACAAAAUAUACGUUCAAUGUCAUGGUCUUGGCUGGAAAUCUGAGUGAUCCAGCCACUACUCAUGCAAACACAGGUAAAGAGACUACAUUUUGUUUGUUUAUGAAGCAAACAUUUGGCUUUGUUUACUUC
rnacentral:lncRNA from 1 species